UACGGAGGGUGCAAGCGUUAUCCGGAUUCACUGGGUUUAAAGGGUGUGUAGGCGGGCUAUUAAGUCAGUGGUGAAAUCUCAGGGCUCAACCCAGAAACUGCCAUUGAUACUAUUAGUCUUGAAUAUCGUUGAGGUUGGCGGAAUAUAUCAUGUAGCGGUGAAAUGCAUAGAUAUGAUAUAGAACACCGAUUGCGAAGGCAGCUAACUAAGCGAUGAUUGACGCUGAGGCACGAAAGCGUGGGGAUCAAACAGG
rnacentral:rRNA from 1 species